rnacentral:snRNA from 1 species
UCAGCGGGGAAAGAAGACCCUGU